rnacentral:rRNA from 1 species
AGUGAACGCUGGCGGUAGGCCUAACACAUGCAAGUCGAACGGCAGCACAGUAAGAGCUUGCUCUUACGGGUGGCGAGUGGCGGACGGGUGAGGAAUACAUCGGAAUCUACUUUUUCGUGGGGGAUAACGUAGGGAAACUUACGCUAAUACCGCAUACGACCUACGGGUGAAAGCAGGGGAUCUUCGGACCUUGCGCGAUUGAAUGAGCCGAUGUCGGAUUAGCUAGUUGGCGGGGUAAAGGCCCACCAAGGCGACGAUCCGUAGCUGGUCUGAGAGGAUGAUCAGCCACACGGGAACUGAGAAACGGGCCAGAAUCCUACGGGAGGCAGCAGUGGGAAUAUUGGACAAUGGGCGCAAGCCUGAUCCAGCCAUACCGCGUGGGUGAAGAAGGCCUUCGGGUUGUAAAGCCCUUUUGUUGGGAAAGAAAAGCAGCAGGUUAAUACCCCGCUGUUCUGACGGUACCCAAAGAAUAAGCACCGGCUAACUUCGUG